rnacentral:rRNA from 1 species
GAUUGAACGCUGGCGGCAGGCCUAACACAUGCAAGUCGAGCGGCAGCACGGGUACUUGUACCUGGUGGCGAGCGGCGGACGGGUGAGUAAUGCCUAGGAAUCUGCCUAGUAGUGGGGGAUAACGUCCGGAAACGGGCGCUAAUACCGCAUACGUCCUACGGGAGAAAGUGGGGGAUCUUCGGACCUCACGCUAUNAGAUGAGCCUAGGUCGGAUUAGCUAGUUGGUGAGGUAAUGGCUCACCAAGGCGACGAUCCGUAACUGGUCUGAGAGGAUGAUCAGUCACACUGGAACUGAGACACGGUCCAGACUCCUACGGGAGGCAGCAGUGGGGAAUAUUGGACAAUGGGCGAAAGCCUGAUCCAGCCAUGCCGCGUGUGUGAAGAAGGUCUUCGGAUUGUAAAGCACUUUAAGUUGGGAGGAAGGGCAGUUACCUAAUACGUGAUUGUUUUGACGUUACCGACAGAAUAAGCACCGGCUAACUCUGUGCCAGCAGCCGCGGUAAUACAGAGGGUGCAAGCGUUAAUCGGAAUUACUGGGCGUAAAGCGCGCGUAGGUGGUUUGUUAAGUUGGAUGUGAAAGCCCCGGGCUCAACCUGGGAACUGCAUCCAAAACUGGCAAGCUAGAGUAUGGUAGAGGGUGGUGGAAUUUCCUGUGUAGCGGUGAAAUGCGUAGAUAUAGGAAGGAACACCAGUGGCGAAGGCGACCACCUGGAC